rnacentral:rRNA from 1 species
GAUGAACGCUGGCGGCGUGCCUAAUACAUGCAAGUCGAGCGAACGGACGAGAAGCUUGCUUCUCUGAUGUUAGCGGCGGACGGGUGAGUAACACGAGGAUAACCUACCUAUAAGACUGGGAUAACUUCGGGAAACCGGAGCUAAUACCGGAUGAUAUUUUGAACCGCAUGGUUCAAAAGUGAAAGACGGUCUUGCUGUCACUUAUAGAUGGAUCCGCGCUGCAUUAGCUAGUUGGUAAGGUAACGGCUUACCAAGGCAACGAUGCAUAGCCGACCUGAGAGGGUGAUCGGCCACACUGGAACUGAGACACGGUCCAGACUCCUACGGGAGGCAGCAGUAGGGAAUCUUCCGCAAUGGGCGAAAGCCUGACGGAGCAACGCCGCGUGAGUGAUGAAGGUCUUCGGAUCGUAAAACUCUGUUAUUAGGGAAGAACAUAUGUGUAAGUAACUGUGCACAUCUUGACGGUACCUAAUCAGAAGGCCACGGCUAACUACGUG